rnacentral:rRNA from 1 species
AGAGUUUGAUCCUGGCUCAGAACGAACGCUGGCGGCAGGCCUAAUACAUGCAAGUCGAGCGCAUCCUUCGGGAUGAGCGGCGGACGGGUGAGUAACGCGUGGGAAUAUGCCCUUCUCUAAGGAAUAGCCUCGGGAAACUGAGAGUAAUACCUUAUACGCCCUUCGGGGGAAAGAUUUAUCGGAGAAGGAUUAGCCCGCGUUAGAUUAGGUAGUUGGUGGGGUAAUGGCCUACCAAGCCUACGAUCUAUAGCUGGUUUGAGAGGAUGAUCAGCCACACUGGGACUGAGACACGGCCCAGACUCCUACGGGAGGCAGCAGUAGGGAAUCUUAGACAAUGGGGGAAACCCUGAUCUAGCCAUGCCGCGUGUGUGAUGAAGGCCUUAGGGUCGUAAAGCACUUUCGCCAGAGAUGAUAAUGACAGUAUCUGGUAAAGAAACCCCGGCUAACUCCGUGCCAGCAGCCGCGGUAAUACGGAGGGGGUUAGCGUUGUUCGGAAUUACUGGGCGUAAAGCGCACGUAGGCGGAUUAGUAAGUUAGAGGUGAAAUCCCAGGGCUCAACCCUGGAACUGCCUUUAAUACUGCUAGCCUUGAGUUCGAGAGAGGUAAGUGGAAUUCCGAGUGUAGAGGUGAAAUUCGUAGAUAUUCGGAGGAACACCAGUGGCGAAGGCGGCUUACUGGCUCGAUACUGACGCUGAGGUGCGAAAGUGUGGGGAGCAAACAGGAUUAGAUACCCUGGUAGUCCACACCGUAAACGAUGAAUGCCAGACGUCAGCAAGUAUAC